GACUAUGGCGGGGAGUGGCAGACUGCUCAGUAACACGUAGCUAACCUACCCUCGGGACGGGGAUAACCCCGGGAAACUGGGGCUAAUACCCGAUAGGUGUGGAUUCCUGGAAUGGUGCCAUGCCUAAAUGUAAGCACAUCCAUGUUUGUGUGCACGCCCGAGGAUGGGGCUGCGGCCGAUCAGGCAGUUGGUGAGGUAACGGCUCACCAAACCUUUGACCGGUACGGGCCAUGAGAGUGGUAGCCCGGAGAUGGGCACUGAGACAAGGGCCCAGGCCCUACGGGGCGCAGCAGGCGCGAAACCUCCACAAUUCACGCAAGUGAGAUGGGGUUACCUCGAGUGCUAUCUGAAGAAGGUGGCUUUUCCAUGGUGUAAUGAGCCGUGGGAAUAAGGGGGGGGCAAGACUGGUGUCAGCCGCCGCGGUAACACCAGCCCCCCGAGUGGUGGGGAUGAUUAUUUGGCCUAAAGCGUCCGUAGCCAGCUCGGUAAAUCUCUCGUUAAAUCCAGCGUCCUAAGCGUUGGGCUGCGAGGGAAACUGCCGAACUAGAGGGUGGGAGAGGUCAGCGGUAUUCCUGGGGUAGGGGCGAAAUCCAUUGAUCCCAGGAGGACCACCAGUGGCGAAGGCUGCUGACUAGAGCACGCCUGACGGUGAGGGUCGAAAGCUGGGGUAGCGAAUCGGAUUAGAUACCCGAGUAGUCCCAGCCGUAAACGAUGCAGGCUAGGUGUUGGGUCGGCCAUGC
rnacentral:rRNA from 1 species